UACAAUCUUUGUCCCCAUGUGCAGUUGCAAACCGUAGUCUGGCUUUUUUAUGGCAGUUUUGGAGCAGUUCACAGUUAGUGUGAUUAAAAAGCACAAACAAACACACACAUAUUAAUAUGUUUCCCAUCACUUUAUGGGAUAUGUUAAAUUAAUGUUUCUUCUUUUAUCUUUAUUCUCAGAUAUACAGGCUCAAAUCGGCAGCCCAGCAGGCCCAUUCAGGGUGGUGAAUGGAAGCAGCUCCUGCGCUCGGAGAGCAGAGGUGUUUUUCUAUGGACACUGGAGGACUGUAUUGUGGCUUGAAAGCAGCUAAUGUGUGGAGAAAGAUGGACUGUGGGAAUGCUGUAGCUGCAACUUACAGACCUCAGUUUGGAGGGAAGUGGAGGAUACCAACUAGCAUGUAUUGAUUGCUAAGGUCAGGAUUCUACUCUUGAGCAGUGUACAUUAGUCUCACAUGGAGAUGGUGUCUUUGAGCAUAAGCAUAAUUAUGCUAAUGUCAUCUGCUCAGGUAAGAUUGAUAUGUGUUGUAUUAAAGAUUGUAUCAAACAAAAUUAGGAUAUUUUAGAUUUUCAUUUAAUAUUCAAUAUUCAUAUUUUGGGGGCUGAAAAUACUAGUACCAUCAACAAAACUGAAUGUUCUACCGUCUCUUUUUGUUCAGAUUUUGUCAAGUUUGUGGAUGAAGCUGGUUUCUGCUCUGGAAGAGUGGAGCUGAAGUCCAAUCAGUCCUGGACGUCAGGGUGUGAAGCUGACUUUGACUGGCAGGAUGCAGAGGACGUCUGUCGGGAGCUUGGCUGUGGCACCUUGUUGAGAAUAGAUAAAUAAAUAGUAUGUACUCUUCUUUCUCCAGAGUCUGAUGAUGUGAGGCUGGUGGGAGGAGGCAGUCGCUGCGUUGGUAGAGUGGAAUGGUACCAACAGGGAAAGAGGAAUAUGUGGCCUGUAAAAUAUGGCUGGAAAUUGAAGGAUGUCGCUGAUGUUUUUGUGUAGACAGCUGGACUGUGGCUCCACUGUUUCAACACUACUUGGGAAAAUGCACUGAAGGGUUUGAAGUGUACUGUAAUGGACCUGAGCCGGCGCUCAGGGACUGUGGAAGAGGCACAGGGCCAACUUUGGUGACUCCAUUAAAGGUGAUCUGCUCAGAUCUCCCGCUUAAGCCUGAUAUCUCCAUGACCAUCUCAAUGGGACGGGUCUCCAGGGGCCACCAAAGGACUCUAGAGGUGUUCAGGGGCCACAGCUUCACCAGCACCUGCUCCACUCAGCCACAGCACCCGGGUGUCUCCUUCCUCCUCACGUACCCUGACUCCAAAACAACCCAGACCUAGCCAGCUGUCUAUCACUCUGCUGCCUUCCUCUUUCCCGCUGCAGAUGGCUUCCACCAAGGGAACUACAGCUGUGUUCAUGAGAUUUAUGUUUUUUCACAUGACUUCUCUUCUGAGAGUGAGCUCCUCUCCCUCACUGUCACAGUCUCUCCUCUGACAGCUUUCCACUGUCGGUGAAAGCCAACUCCACCACCUAUCUGUACAUCAAGACCACCAAGAGGCCGAAGCGAGUGGAAGGGGUGAACUUGGAGAUGGUUUCUCUGAAGUCUACAGCUGUAGCCAGAUGGGGAGAGGAGAGAGCAGCCCAGGGUACAGAGUAGGGUGAAGUUGACUGAAAAGUCCAAGUGGGGUCCUUGGGAUGAAAGUUGAAAUUGAAAGUUAAAAUGUUUAAAAUGUAGUUGAAAUCUAAAACAUUUAACGUUGUAAAAAGUUAAGGGUUAAGGUUAGGGUUAAGGUUAGGGUUAUGGUUAUGGUAAGGUUUAGGGUAUCGAUGUCCCAAGGUUUCCGGGUGGCACUAACUGAAGUUGACCGUAGAGACGUUGACCUUAGGUCAGUUUUUUGUUUUCCAGAUAUGAUGGGACUGGUGUGGAUUUGAGGGGACUUUAAUCCCCAUCCAAUCUAAUUAAAUGAGUGGUAAGUUUCCAUUGAUGUUGCUAUUGUUAUGGCUACACUCCUAUUGUUGUAGUUGUCAUUGCUGCCAGACAUAAGAGUUGGCCAGAGCACAGUUAGCAUUAGCCUAGCUUAGCUGAGACAUGAUCAUAUGUCAGCGUAGGGCUAGGUUGCCCCGAGGUGCUGCUCUAAUAUCAACCACCAGCUGUCUCCACUGCUCCCCUCUAAGCCCCACUCGACUUGAGGGGUAACUUGUUCUUACCCUGGGUAACCAACUGAGCGCUCAAGAUACAAUACAAGAUACAAUACCUAAAUCCUAACCUUUGUCAGGUUAUAUCUGUGACAGUUUUUUUGGUUUUAAACUCAACUCUUGAGAUGGAUAACAAAGACAGUUACUUAAUAUAAAGCAUUGAGUUUCCAUUCAUAUAUAGCUACUAAUCACCUUGAGGGGAAAAAAAUGGGAAAAGUCACAUCAACUAAUUUGAACGUUUUUUUAUUUAAGUGAAAGACAUGAUAUUACACGUGACAUGAUAGCUAAUAAAGAUGUACACAUCAUUUAUUACAAGAAUUGUUUGGAAUCACUUCCCUGUGCUCACUCAAAACCUCCACUCCUUCAGUCUGGGUUAGACACACAGAUGGCAGCCAAUCUCUUCAGUAAAUAUCAGUAGUUUCAUUGACUCCAGCUCAGAAUAAAGAGAAAACCCUAACAAAACGAGUGGUAGAAACCCCAUCAGAGGACACAUUCUGCCCACAGAGUCCAAUCAUGGCUUCAGAGAGCUAAAUAACCAUGGUGAUAUUGUCUGAACAGCUGUUUGUGUGUGAAAGUGAGAGUGCAUUGCGCAUAUAUGUUCCUGUGACUUUUUGCUAUUUUGCUAUUAUUAGCAUCAAAUGAUGUUAUUUGUGUGGGUCAGUGCAAAUAGUGUACAUGUGGGUGGGUUGUGCGUGUGUGUUCAGCAGUGGGUGAUCAGUGUGUGCACGGAGGUGUGUGCGAGGGAGCUGCGUGAAGGAUUAGCCCCAGUGUGUGUCCACCAGUGAUUAGCCUGGUCAGUGGGCCUGUUGUGCAUUCACCCAGUCCAUUAGCAUAUUAAUGCUGCCUCCCUCUUGAUCUCUCUGUCUCUCUCUUUUCUCCACCCUCUCUCUUUCUCUUUCCUUUCUAUAGCUAUUUCCCGAGUCUCGCUCGAACUUCCUCCCUGGCAAUUUUUUUCUCAACUUAUUUUGUACUUCCCUUUCUCUCUGCGCUCAGUUUGGGCCCUUCGUACUUUACACAUUUCUCUCUUCCUUGUUCUCUUGUCUUUCCCUCCAAAAAUGUCCUAUUGCCCUUUUCUCCUCCUUCUUUCUCUUCCGAAAUCCCUCCUUCCCUGAUAAUCCCAGUCUCUCGCCCCAAGCCCCGUCUCUCCCUACAAUCUCCAAAUCCUUUACAGUGCUUUACUUUCGCUCUCGUUUUCCCUAUUAUUCCGUAGCCUAACCCCUGAACCUUGCCAAACACAGGCAAAUGCAAACACACACACCUCACUUCAUUCAUUCAAUCUAAUUUUCUCUCACUCUCUCCCCUUUCCUGCUAGAAGUGUGCAUCUUGUGAGACCUUUUGUGAAUAGCUUUGAAAGAAAAAGCAACCUAGAAAACAGGGACUGAAGUGCAAACCGGACACAUUCAACAGUACUUAACAUUAUAAAUGCUAUUCAUUUCUCCCUCUAAUGACUUCAGCCUCCAAGUAGACUCAACCUCUUGUUCUGGCUCUUAACCGCCACCGUGAGCCACGUUUAGAAGCUGGAGAAUAGUAGAAGUAAAAAUAAUUUCUUGGAAAAAGCCCAGUGUGCUAAAGGUGAGCAUUUAUACCCACACGUUUCCUUCUGUCCCUUCCAUGUCUGCAUUACUGGAGAUUUCUGGAGGUCAGGGGCGUGAUGUCCAUCCACAACUCCUGGUUUCAGGGAGGCAGACACAAGAAUUGCGUUUGGACAAUCAGCUCCGGACCCCCUGGGUCAGCACAUAGCAGGGAUGGAUGGGCAGACGUUUGGAUAGACAUAGGGUACAGAGAAACGUAUAGGGAAAUUAAGGCCUCUGAAACCCUAACUCAACCACCCUUUCUGUAUGUUCAUGACACAAUGAUGAACGCAGGGUCACUUUGCAGGGCAGCACCCCAAGGCAGCAGCAAUGUGACCCAUACAAAAGGGCUCCCCAUGGUCACACGGAUCAAAGAGACAAAAGCUCCCUAUGAUAACUUAGUGCAGCCGAGUGUUAACACAUGAGCAGCCAAGGUAAGAGCUGGAAACAAAAGUGAGAAGUUGAAACAAAAGUAGCCCCCCAAACUGAAUUGCUCUAUGCAACAUUUGUCUUUCAAUAUGAGCUGUGUCAAAAUGAAUAAUAUGGGCCGCUUUCGAAAGGCCUCAGCCAUUCAUUGAUGCUCCAUGUGCUGCUCACAAUUGAAGAGCAGCCCCGUACGCCCCACAAAGAGAAAUAAAGUAUUUCAUAUCCAUAUCUUAAAGUUAAUGUUAACAGUUAUUUGUUUGAGUAGAUACUAUUGAGUAGAUACUAUAAAAAGUCAUAUUUAAAAGUCUAAUGAAGACUUGUUUUUCUUUUGAAUUCAGAAAAUGCCCUUUUUCUUAAAUAUUUGAUUACAGAAAAAAAGUGGUUCAUUUAAAAUCUGGUUAAAUUAACCUCUUUUAAAUAUCAAAAACUAAAUCUGGAUUUUUACAGUACUUAGUACAUUUUUUCCCCACAGAGGAUGUUUAGAAGGUUCAAUAAAGUGUAUUUCCCUUCCUGAAUAUCAGCCACGACUGGAAAAUAAAAGCUAGUCACCCAUUUUUACCCAUUCAUCUUGAGAAGUUUCUUCAAAGUGGUAGUAAUCUGUUAA